UACAGAGGUCUCAAGCGUUGUUCGGAUUCAUUGGGCGUAAAGGGUGCGUAGGCGGCGCGGUAAGUCGGUGUGAAAUCUCGGAGCUUAACUCCGAAACUGCAUUCGAUACUGCCGUGCUUGAGGACUGGAGAGGAGACUGGAAUUUACGGUGUAGCAGUGAAAUGCGUAGAGAUCGUAAGGAAGACCAGUGGCGAAGGCGAGUUUCUGGACGGUAACUGACGCUGAGGCACGAAGGCCAGGGGAGCAAACGGG
rnacentral:rRNA from 1 species